rnacentral:rRNA from 1 species
CUACAUGAAGCUGGAAUCGCUAGUAAUCGCGGAUCAGAAUGCCGCGGUGAAUACGUUCCCGGGCCUUGUACACACCGCCCGUCAAACCAUGAGAGUUGGCAACACCCGAAGUCGGUAGUCUAACCGCAAGGAGGACGCCGCCGAAGGUGGGGUUGAUGAUUAGGGUUAAGUCGUAACAAGGUAAC